UUCCUAGGACCAAUUUUUGUCUACAAAUGCUUAGUAAUUUUCUGUUAGGUGUAAAGCAUGUUGGCCUUGGUUUAUUGUUUAGCUAAUAAAUUUUUGAGUUUAGUCUACAUGGGGUAAUGUAAUAUUUCUUUAGAAAAAGUUAAAACUUUGCAAUUAAGAAUAGUUUUGGCUUAAUAGACAUGAUUAUUAAUGUUCUUUAAAAAUUGGUAGACAAGUGAAAUUCUAUUGAUGUUUUAUAUUGUUGUAACAUAUGGGAUGGCAUUAGGAUUAUUUAUUGUUUUGUCUAAGGUGGUGAUAUAAAUAGAAG
rnacentral:lncRNA from 1 species